UUUAACGUGAAGGAGACGCGGCAGCACACGGAGGAAGAGGUCGGGGCCUUCACGAAGCUCAUCGAGGCGAUGGGCUUCACUGGACCGCUCAAAUACAACAAAUGGAAAAUCAAGAUCGCUGCGUUGCGGAUGUACACGUGCUGCGUAGAGAGAAUCAACUACGACGACUUCUUUGACAAGUGCUCCCUCCCAGACACACUCAACUCUUGGUUCUUGGUAGCGCAGCUGCACGUGUGGUGAGUCUCUCUCUCACACACACACACACACACACACACACACACACACACACAC